GAUGAACGCUGGCGGCGUGCUUAACACAUGCAAGUCGAACGGAAAGGCCCAAGCUUGCUUGGGUACUCGAGUGGCGAACGGGUGAGUAACACGUGGGUGAUCUGCCCUGCACUUCGGGAUAAGCCUGGGAAACUGGGUCUAAUCCCGGAUAGGACGAUGGUUUGGAUGCCAUUGUGGAAAGUUUUUUCGGUGUGGGAUGAGCUCGCGGCCUAUCAGCUUGUUGGUGGGGUCAUGGCCUACCAAGGCGUCGACGGGUGGCCGGCCUGAGAGGGUGUACGGCCACAUUGGAACUGGGAUACGGGCCAGACUCCUACGGGAUGCAGCAGGGGGGAAUAUUGCACAAUGGGCGCAAGGCUGAUGCAGGAACGCCGCGUGGGGGAUGACGGCCUUCGGGUUGUAAGCUCCUUUCGCUAGGGACGAAGCGUUUUUGUGACGGUACCUGGAGAAGAAGCACCGGCUAACUACGUG
rnacentral:rRNA from 1 species